GACGAACGCUGGCGGCGUGCCUAAUACAUGCAAGUUGAGCGAUGAAGAUUGGUGCUUGCACCAAUUUGAAGAGCAGCGAACGGGUGAGUAACGCGUGGGGAAUCUGCCUUUGAGCGGGGGACAACAUUGGGAAACGAAUGCUAAUACCGCAUAACAACUUUAAACAUAAGUUUUAAGUUUGAAAGAUGCAAUUGCAUCACUCAAAGAUGAUCCCGCGUUGUAUUAGCUAGUUGGUGAGGUAAAGGCUCACCAAGGCGAUGAUACAUAGCCGACCUGAGAGGGUGAUCGGCCACAUUGGGCCUGAGACACGGCCCAAACUCCUACGGGAGGCAGCGGUAGGGAAUCUUCGGCAAUGGACGAAAGUCUGGCCGAGCAACGCCGCGUGAGUGAAGAAGGGUUUCGGAUCGUAAAACUCUGUUGGUAGAGAAGAACGUUGGUGAGAGUGGAAAGCUCAUCAAGUGACGGUAACUACCCAGAAAGGGACGGCUAACUACGUG
rnacentral:rRNA from 1 species